GGAAAUGUGGCUCAGUUGUAGAGCACAUGCUUCGCAUGCGUGGGGCACUGAGUUCGAUCCUCAGUACCA
rnacentral:tRNA from 1 species